GACGUAGGGCGCGAGCGUUGUCCGGAUUUAUUGGGCGUAAAGAGCUCGUAGGCGGUUUGUCGCGUCUGCUGUGAAAACUCAGGGCUUAACCCUGAGCCUGCAGUGGGUACGGGCAGACUAGAGGUGUGGUAGGGGAGAUCGGAAUUCCUGGUGUAGCGGUGGAAUGCGCAGAUAUCAGGAGGAACACCGGUGGCGAAAGCGGCUUCCUGGUCCAGCACCGACGUCAGGCACGAAAGCGUGGGGAGCAAACAGG
rnacentral:rRNA from 1 species